rnacentral:rRNA from 1 species
CAGUAGCCACGGGAAUACGAAGGGGGCUAGCGUUGCUCGGAAUGACUGGGCGUAAAGGGCGCGUAGGCGGCUGUUACAGUCAGACGUGAAAUUCCUGGGCUCAACCUGGGGGCUGCGUUUGAUACGUGAUGGCUUGAGUUCGGAAGAGGGUCGUGGAAUUCCCAGUGUAGAGGUGAAAUUCGUAGAUAUUGGGAAGAACUCCGGUGGCGAAGGCGGCGACCUGGUCCGAUACUGACGCUGAGGCGCGAAAGCGUGGGGAGCAAACAGGAUUAGAUACCCCUGUAGUCCCUGUCUCUUAUAC